UACCGUACAAUCGGCGGGAAGUUGAAUGACUUCAUACCGUUAGAUUAGAAUGUGAUCUAACGGUGGUAGUUUGUUUGCAGUGAAUGUUCUGUGGGACCCAAUACGAGUAGAAAGUUAUUGGAAAUCCCAAAAAGUUCGCUAGCUGCUCCCCACCGAUUUCCCGCCAAUUUAACCGAAAUUCUCGGAAUAUUUAAUUUUCGUUUUUAUUU
rnacentral:lncRNA from 1 species